GACGAACGCUGGCGGCGUGCUUAACACAUGCAAGUCGAACGGAAAGGCCCUGCUUUUGUGGGGUGCUCGAGUGGCGAACGGGUGAGUAACACGUGAGUAACCUGCCCUUGACUUUGGGAUAACUUCAGGAAACUGGGGCUAAUACCGGAUAGGAGCUCCUGCUGCAUGGUGGAGGUUGGAAAGUUUCGGCGGUUGGGGAUGGACUCGCGGCUUAUCAGCUUGUUGGUGGGGUAGUGGCUUACCAAGGCUUUGACGGGUAGCCGGCCCGAGAGGGUGACCGGCCACAUUGGGACUGAGAUACGGCCCAGACUCCUACGGGAGGCAGCAGUGGGGAAUAUUGCACAAUGGGCGGAAGCCUGAUGCAGCAACGCCGCGUGCGGGAUGACGGCCUUCGGGUUGUAAACCGCUUUCGCCUGUGACGAAGCGUGAGUGACGGUAAUGGGUAAAGAAGCACCGGCCAACUACGUG
rnacentral:rRNA from 1 species